GAUGAAGAACGUAGCGAAAUGCGAUAAGUAAUGCGAAUUGCAGAAUCCGUGAGUCAUCGAAUCUUUGAACGCACAUUGCGCCCCUUGGUAUUCCAUGGGGCAUGCCUGUUCGAGCGUCAUUUGUACCCUCAAGCUUUGCUUGGUGUUGGGUGUUUGUCCCGCGUUGCGCGUGGACUCGCCUUAAAGCGAUUGGCAGCCGGCAUAUUGGCCUUGGAGCGCAGCACAUUUUGCGCUUCUAGUCAUGAAUGUUGGCGUCCAUUAAGCCUAUACAUUUGCUCUUGACCUCGGAUCAGGUAGGGAUACCCGCUGAACUUAAGCAUAUCAAUAAGCGGAGGA
rnacentral:misc_RNA from 1 species